UGCAUUAAAUCCAGGCAAGCAUGAGCAAGAGUAAUUUCCUAUUUCAUUUGAGCAGGUUGAAUUAGGACCACAUAUGGAUGGAUUAAUCUGACAUUCAUCCACAUCUGAAAAAUUAGAUAGUGCCCAUCAGUCAAUCACAUGUUUUUAAAUAUAUGUGUGACUACUAAUGAAGGUUGAAUUGGGACCACAUAUGAAGGGAUCGAUCUGACAUUCAUCCACAUCUGAAAAAUUUAAAAAUGCCAAACAAUCAGUCAAAUGUUUACUAGAGCAUGGAAUACUAUUAUCAAAGGUUGAAUUAGGACCACAUAUGGAUGGAUUAAUCUGACAUUCAUCCACAUCUGAAAAAUUAGAUAGUGCCCAUCAGUCAAUCACAUGUUUUUAAAUACAUGUGUGACUACUAAUGAAGGUAGAAUUCGGACCACAGAUGGGUGGAUAGAUCUGGCAUUCAUCCACAUCUGAAAAAUUAGAUAGUGCCCAUCAGUGAAUCACAUGUUCUAAAAUACAUGUGUGACUACUACUGAAGGUUGAAUUAGGACCACAUAUGGAUGGAUUAAUCUGACAUUCAUCCACAUCUGAAAAAUUAGAUAGUGCCCAUCAGUCAAUCACAUGUUUUUAAAUAUAUGUGUGACUACUAAUGAAGGUUGAAUUGGGACCACAUAUGAAGGGAUCGAUCUGACAUUCAUCCACAUCUGAAAAAUUUAAAAAUGCCAAACAAUCAGUCAAAUGUUUACUAGAGCAUGGAAUACUAUUAUCAAAGGUUGAAUUAGGACCACAUAUGGAUGGAUUAAUCUGACAUUCAUCCACAUCUGAAAAAUUAGAUAGUGCCCAUCAGUCAAUCACAUGUUUUUAAAUACAUGUGUGACUACUAAUGAAGGUAGAAUUCGGACCACAGAUGGAUGGAUUGAUCUGGCAUUCAUCUACAUCUGAAAAAUUAGAUAGUGCCCAUCAGUGAAUCACAUGUUCUAAAAUACAUGUGUGACUACUACUGAAGGUUGAAUUAGGACCACAUAUGGAUGGAUUAAUCUGACAUUCAUCCACAUCUGAAAAAUUAGAUAGUGCCCAUCAGUCAAUCACAUGUUUUUAAAUAUAUGUGUGACUACUAAUGAAGGUUGAAUUGGGACCACAUAUGAAGGGAUCGAUCUGACAUUCAUCCACAUCUGAAAAAUUUAAAAAUGCCAAACAAUCAGUCAAAUGUUUACUAGAGCAUGGAAUACUAUUAUCAAAGGUUGAAUUAGGACCACAUAUGGAUGGAUUAAUCUGACAUUCAUCCACAUCUGAAAAAUUAGAUAGUGCCCAUCAGUCAAUCACAUGUUUUUAAAUAUAUGUGUGACUACUAAUGAAGGUUGAAUUGGGACCACAUAUGAAGGGAUCGAUCUGACAUUCAUCCACAUCUGAAAAAUUUAAAAAUGCCAAACAAUCAGUCAAAUGUUUACUAGAGCAUGGAAUACUAUUAUCAAAGGUUGAAUUGGGACCACAUAUGAAGGGAUCGAUCUGACAUUCAUCCACAUCUGAAAAAUUUAAAAAUGCCAAACAAUCAGUCAAAUGUUUACUAGAGCGUGGAAUACUAUUAUCAAAGGUUGAAUUAGGACCACAUAUGGAUGGAUUAAUCUGACAUUCAUCCACAUCUGAAAAAUUAGAUAGUGCCCAUCAGUCAAUCACAUGUUUUUAAAUAUAUGUGUGACUACUAAUGAAGGUUGAAUUAGGACCACAUAUGGUUGGAUAGAUCUGACAUUCAUCCACAUCUGAAAAAUGUCAAAAUGCCUAUCAUUGAAUCACUUGUGUUCCAUUGCAUGGUUUAAUUAUAUUGAUAGUCAGAGUAUACACAGAUGUAAAGCUAGAACCCACCGUUGCAUGUGUUAUUGAUGCCAAUGGAGAGAUUUGAGUUUGUUGCAAUAAAUCCAGCCAAGCA